AAACUGAAUGCAAAAGUGGAAAGAAGAAACAGAGUAAACAAAAAAGAAAUUCGCUUCAUCUUCAUCUUCAACCUUCAAGGCACCAAUAUAUAGAAGGUUGGAGAUAGUAAUGAAAAGAAACAAAGGUUUUGGGACGGGGUCUGCAAUAUAUUCACGUUAGAAAGAUAUUUUCCUUUUGACUCUGGUUAACCCAUAUGAAUGUGAUCUAUAUGUUUAUUAUAACCCUAGUAAUUUUUCUAAUUGGGAAUUUGGUGGUUCACAAGUGUUAGAUCCACACUUCUUUAAAAUGAACGAACUUUUGAGUUAUUUUUCAUGAUUACACAUGACAGGAUAUUUGCUGAAGCAAAUAAGCAAGUCUGAAUAUAUUUUAUUUGGGUUCUUCUUUUGAUUGUGGUCCUUGUCUAAGAAUUUGGAAAAUAUUAUUCCAGAAAUUUCCAAAAUAGACUGCAUGCAUACUUACUGGCAAGAUUGCCUCGAGAAUUAUCAGUGUCUAUGUUGGCUAAAUUUUGCUUUUGCUCCAGCAUAUGCAAUUACUUUUAAUGACAUCAUUAUGGUGCUUCGCUAAAUCCUUUUCUUGUACACCGUGUUGACGAUUCUUCCUCAAAGACCUGUCAUGAUUCCUCUUGCAAUUCCAUUUUCUUUCUUUUUUUUCCUUUUUCCUCUUCCCUUGUUUCACGAUAAUAUAAUUGUUUUUCUCUGUAUGUUGUAAGUCGUGAAAAUUCUGUGGGUUCUAUCUUUUCUUUCUAAAUAUUUGAAUUCUAAGUUCGCUUUUUCUUUCUGUUUCCAUCAGGUUGCAGGAGCUGCUGUUAUUUUUGAGGUGCAAAGUCGUUCCAGAGCAGAAGCCAGAAAGGAGGAACUUCGUAGGAAGGAAUUAGAGGCUAUGAAGCAACGAGAUGAAGAUCUAGCAAGAGAAGUUGAGCUUCUUAAGCACAGAAUUGCUACGCUUGAGCUGGUUGCCAAAGAUCAAGGCAUUCGUGGUAUUUUCAACUUCAAGAGAGUAAGUAACACUGACGAUAAAGCGAUAACAGCUUAAUCACUCUUAACGGAAAACAUAAUGGAGAUUGGAACACACAAAAUCAUAUCAUCAUAAUUCAGUCAGCUUAAGCAGAAGAAUGCAAAGUAAGACCAUGAUUUUUAUAGGCCCCCCCAUCUAUGUAAAUCUUUGUAUAUUAACUCCAAUAUCACUCUGCUAAGGUUUAAAAUCCAUUUUUAUAGAAAGUUGCAUGCUUUGCUUCAAUCAACUGUUGGUGAGCUUUAUGAAUUACAAUUUUUAA